CACGUCAUUGGAUGGUACGGUUUUUUCGUAAAUAAAAUGGAAAUCCAAGGCCGGAAGUUAAAAUCCAGCAAAGGUCACCACAUUUUAUUUUAUUUUUUAUUUUUUUAUUUUUUCCCUCCACCUCUCAAAAGGGAUUCGAUGAGGAAUCGCGGAGCCCGGCCCCCAGCUUUUUCAAAACGAAGGAAAUGAAGAGCCCACCUGUAGUCGUUUGUCUAUCGGUCGGUCGGCUGGCCACGCGUCCGCAUUUUAUUGGCUAAGUGGAGUUUAAAUUACCACAAUGUCACUCCCGGCUGAUACAAACCCACACACUCGUUUAUCAUUCGCAAUCGUAGGGUUCGGUUUUUUCCUCUUCAAAACCAGAAAAAGAAAAUAAAAUUAAACCCAAAAAAAAAAAAAAAAAAAUGGAAGCAAAGAAAGGAAAAAAGUAAAAACUUUUCCUUCUCUCUCUCUCUCUCUCUCUCUAGAUUCUCUCUCAUCGAAGAGAUUGUUGUUAUUAGCUUUAGUUGGAUUGAUUAUUUGAUAUUGUAAUCUGGUGGUGGUGGUGGCGUUUGAUAUGGUUUAUCGGUGGUCUCUAAUUCGCUUGGUGCAGGUCGGGAACUUGUUCGCCUUUUUUUUUUUUUUUUUUUGGGGGGGACUUCAUUUUUUUUUUUUUUUUCCCCUUCUUCUUCUUCUUCCUCUUCCAAUUAGGUAGUUUCAGUGUUAUCUUGGUGAUUGGUUGUUUUUUUUGGGAGAGAAGAGGAAAAAAACAAAAACAAAAAAAAAGGCGAAAUGGGUCCCGCCUUGCAUCAACUGAAUCGGAGACCGCGGUGAAAAACGGCGUUUCUUUUAUGGAUCUUGCGUUUUCCUGUUUGUCGGAGCUCAGAUCUCAGGUUGGAGAUUUAUGUAUUUCUGGAUUAUAUAGAUAAUAUGUCUAUGUAUACAUAUAUUUGUCUGUGAAUUAGUGUUUUGUGUUAGCUUCUUUUUUUGUUUUUUGGCAUUUUGGAUCUAUUUAUUUUUUGUUUAAUCUUUUGAAACGAUGAAAGAUUGAUUGCAAAGGACAAUUGAUUUACGAAUCCGAGCUAUUGAUUUUUGAGCUAUGAUGUUCAAUGGGAUUAAUUUGUAUAUUUUGAGAAUUAAAGUCUGCUUUUUUUUUUUUUCCUUUUUUUUGUGGAUUUGCCACUGAAUUCGAAUUAUUAGAUUUCAAGGUUUUUCAUUUCCGUGGAAAUGAUUCUUGUUUAUGCGAACGAAAGCAAUGAAAUAAUUUGAUUGAAUCACUUUUUUUUUUUUUUUCCAAGAUCUGUAUAGCUGGUUGUUUGAAUUUGUGGAUAUAAUUGGAUUGACUUAGAUGGAUGCGAGGGUCAAAAAGUGCAAGCGAGCUAUUCAGAUCUGAUUGAUUGAGGCUCUUUAUACGUAUGCUCUGCUUGAUUUUGCAGUAGUAUGUACUUUAGUCAUGCAUAAAGGGACCGCAAAUCUAAAGGGAUUGUUAUGUAAAUAUGUGUAUAUAUGGAAAAUUUAGAUUCAAAAUCUUUAGCUUUUGUUAAUUUUAUGAUACCUCUCUUUAAUUUAAUCUGAAUGCAAUCUCUUCUUUUAGUCAACCACAAAGUUGACCAAUAGAAUAUUCAUUAGACAACCACUUUUUUUAAGUCGUCUAUUACCCUUAUAUAUGUUAAAAAUUAAUCAUUUUAGAAGAAAAAAUAAAUGCCUAUGUUAUUUAGUCUUUUUUAUUUUUUAUUAUUUUUAAAUUAAGUAGGAUAGAUUGUCAUUUUCAAAAAAAUUGAACCCCUCAGUUAGAUGGAGUCAAAAAAAGAGGUCUGCCUAAUCGUUUAAAUACCUAAGAAGUCUUUGUGUACUUCUCCCCAUAUAUAUAUACUGAUAAUAAAAGAAAAAGAAGGAAAAGAAAAAAACUUGAAUCUGGAAGCUAUAGCUUUGCUACAUUUUUAUUUUUAUAUUUUUAACACUUUUGGUAUGCUUGAAAACAUGUUUUUAAUCAGUAAAUGUCUUGAGCAUGCAUAAAAUCUAUGUAAAUAGAGUUGCUAAAUACAUUUUACUGUUCAAAAAGAUGAACGACGAAGAUCUUUAUUUUCUAUUUUUUUAAUUUUGUUAUUGGUGCAUAGUAUCUUACCACAUUAUUUUGCUCUCAUAAUCCAAUUUUAUGAUUGCUUUUAUUUUUAAUUUUCUGUUUGGCCUAGGUAUACUUUUCACUACAGUUUUGGUAGUUGUGUGGGUUUCACUUUUUCUUCCUUUACUGUCCUCUCCAUCAUUGUUUUUACUUUAGUUAGAUCUUUUUUUCCUUUUUAUUUGUCUUUGGAUCCAUAGUGUCCCACUAACAAAGUAUGCUCUGCUUUACUUGGUUUGAGUCACUGACAUCACUAAUUAUUCCUGUGUGGAGAUAGUGGUUAUUUAUGGUACUGGAAUUCUCCACCUAAGGGUCCAUUUAGUGAUGCCAAUGGAACAUCAUGUCUUUGGAAUAUGUUCAGAUCCCUCAUCCUGGGGGCAAAAAAAGGAAAAGAAAAGAACAGAAAUACUGUUUUGUCGGUAUAGUAACAUUAUUACGGUACAAUUAAUUGCUCAAUUAUAUAUAUAUAUAUAUAUAUAUUUUUUUCCCGGGUGGGCGAGGUCUGAGGGGAGGGAUGUUGUUGAGGGAGAUGAGGAUUACCAAGGGGAUUAAACUUGUUGACAAGAAUAAGCACCCAACAAGCUUGAAACUGGGAAUCAUAUCUGGAAGGUUGUCCUUAGAAUCUCAAACUGUAAAGAGUUUUAUAGAUAUGAAGCAAAGGAGAGGAACAUGUACGUGAUGUUUCUUUUUGUAUUAGAGGUGGAAGAUAGAAUAAAUGAAGCCAAUACUUUGUGUGGAAAAGAAAUGAGACUUCUCUUCUUUGAUUGAUGAUUUUGACCCUAGAAAUGGAUAUUAUGUGUUGAUGAUGGACAAGUGAUGGCUAUCUUUUAUUGCAACUAAAAUACAUUACAUCUUAGGCAUGAUGUAUACCCAAACUUAAUUAUUACCAGUUUUUAAUAACUGAUUUCAAAUUACUAUUUGAUCCAUUGGAUAUGUUUUGAUAGCAGCCUGGCAGAUGCUGUUCACUGUGCUUUUUUAGGGGACGUAGGGGUAUACAAAAUGGUGCUUCUGCUUAUAAGCUUCUUUUGCAAAGCAAUGUAGGAGGGCAUCUUUUGUCUCUCAUGCUUUGGAUUGCAUUGUCUCGGUCGCAUUGUGUUGACUGCCUUUGUGGUGUGCUGAGUUUUCACCUUCAGUUUUCUUCAGCUGCUUUUACAAUUGUUACAUCUUCGGUGAUGAUCUGAUGUGGAGCUUGUUAUGGUUCUUUCUUUCAUCUCCAUCAACUUUGCUUUUUCCCUUGUCGACUGUCUGCAGGCCUUCAUUUGGAGCUUUAGUCUGUCACUGGCUGUUUCUUCUUGAUCUUUCCAGCUUAAACAGUGAGUCGGUCAAUUUUGCUUUGGGUGCAAUGCAAGGCCUGUAUGCCAUUCUCUGCCCAGAUAAUUUUGAUAAUUUGCUUCCUCAAAAACCAAAUCUUAUUCCAAUGUCUUUGCCCUUUGAAAAUUGGCAUAUAUAACUUAUGCUUGCCAUUAGUUAUUUAGCCAUGUUGCUCACUUAUGCUUGCCAUUAGUUAUUUAGCCAUGUUGCUCCUUAGGAGCCGCCGCUAUUGUGGUAUGAUUGCUUGCUGGUGUUCAGACUCCACUCUUGUGGUGGCUGGUUGCUUGUCUAUCAUUUAAUUGACAGGCUUUUAGAUGUUGCUGUAUGAUUGGACGAGCCUGAUUUUUGUUUCUACAGCUUUGAUUCCACUUCUAUAUUUCCUAUGGAUGUGUUCAGCUCUGGAGGUCAGUUCUCUGAAUAUCUUCCUCAUCUCCUGUUUCGUUAAAUGUAUUGCUAGAAAGAUUUGGAACAUAUUUUAAGCUGCUGAAGUAGUUUUUAUUCGAUUUCUCUUUUCCUCAUUUAUGGUAUAUGCUGAUUCAUUUCUAUAAAUUAAUAUAGCAAAGGCCUUUCCUUUGAGAUUAUGUUAAUGAUUGGGAUCAGGUCUUGUAAAAGGUGUUCUGAAAUUAAUACAAGGAACACCAGCAUGCUUACGAGUCUAUUCCACUUUUUGUUCCGAGUAAGCCUUGUCCUUGGAAGAGCCAGUUUAUGGCAAGAAUGAAUCCACAAGCUGCUGAGAAUCUUAGGAGAUAGAAAGGUGACUAUGGAUUUGUACUUCUAUGUAUAGACGAUUACUUGAAUGGGAAGCACAAGUUUGUAUUGGGUACAAGUUCUCGAUGGACUUUUUAGUGACUAAAUGUCCCUAAAUGAACUUUUGUCGCUAAAAAGCAUCUUUUCGUUGUACAUGGUCUAAUUUUUAGUUGGAAACUUCUGAUGCAAUUGAAUGGGCCCGCUCCUUCAAAAUUGGGAAAUGGGUAAAUUAUGUUUAAAGGGGCCAACCCAUGGCCCAACUUGUUGAUAUGCCCAACUAUAAAUCGUGUUCGAAUGGGCUAGGAAUGUAUUGAAGGUGCCGAAUAGUUCAACAGGGAUCAUCAUUUUUCAUAUCAAACUAUUUAUUUAAAAUUCUUUCUGUUUUAAUGCGAAAACAAUUUGGAA